rnacentral:misc_RNA from 1 species
AACUGAUACUACCUGCGGGAACCUGCGGAGGGAUCAUCAUUGAACAAACUUUUUCAAGCUUUGGAGGGGGGAAGAGAGGAAACUCUCUUUCGUUCCUCCGGCUUGUAAAAACAAACAACUUUGAUACCCAAAAAGAGUCGAUCUCUUUCCUGCUGGGAAAGAGAGGGGGAAACCCCAGACAAACAAGUAGUUGCCUGAUAAAAAAGAGUUUGGAUUGGAAAGAAACAUGAAACAACUUUU